rnacentral:rRNA from 1 species
AUAGAACCUACCUUUUACAGAGGAAUAGCCUUUAGAAAUGAAGAUUAAUGCCUCAUAGUAUUGUAGACUGGCAUCAGUUUAUAAUUAAAGAUUUAUCGGUAAAAGAUGGCUAUGCGUCCUAUUAGUUAGUUGGUAAGGUAACGGCUUACCAAGACAGCGAUAGGUAGGGGUCCUGAGAGGGAGAUCCCCCACACUGGUACUGAGACACGGACCAGACUCCUACGGGAGGCAGCAGUGAGGAAUAUUGGACAAUGGAGGAGACUCUGAUCCAGCCAUGCCGCGUGUAGGAAGAAUGCCCUAUGGGUUGUAAACUACUUUUAUACAGGAAGAAACACUGGUAUGUAUACCAGCUUGACGGU